rnacentral:rRNA from 1 species
UACGGAGGGGGUUAGCGUUGUUCGGAAUUACUGGGCGUACAGCGCACGUAGGCGGACUAGUAAGUCAGGGGUGAAAUCCCGGGGCUCAACCCUGGAACUGCCUUUGAUACUGCUAGUCUUGAGUUCGAGAGAUGUGAGUGGAAUUCCGAGUGUAGAGGUGAAAUUCGUAGAUAUUCGGAGGAGCACCAGUGGCGAAGGCGGCUCACUGGCACGAUACUGACGCUGAGGUGCGAAAGCGUGGGGAGCAAUCAGG